rnacentral:rRNA from 1 species
UACGAGGGGUGCAAGCGUUGCUCGGAAUUAUUGGGCGUAAAGGGUAGGUAGGUGGUCUCAUUUGUCCGGGGUGAAAGCCUUGAGCUUAACUCAAGAAGUGCCUCGGAAACGGUGAGACUAGAGUCUUGGAGAGGGUCGUGGAAGUUCCCGGUCGGUAGCGGUGAAAUGCGUAGAAGAUCGGGAGGAACACCAGAGGGCGA